CUACGGGUUGCAGCAGUCGAGAAUCUUCCGCAAUGGACGAAAGUCUGACGGAGCGACGCCGCGUGCGGGAUGAAGGCCUUCGGGUUGUAAACCGCUGUCAGUGGGGAGGAAAUGCAUCAGGGUUCUCCCUGGUGUUUGACCGAUCCGCAGAGGAAGCGCAGGCUAAGUUCGUGCCAGCAGCCGCGGUAACACGAACUGCGCGAACGGUAUUCGGAAUCACUGGGCUUAAAGAGCUCGUAGGCGGCCUUUCAAGUCGGGUGUGAAAUCCCUCGGCUCAACCGAGGAAUUGCGCCUGAUACUGUUGGGCUUGAGGGGGAUAGGGGUGAGCGGAACUGAUGGUGGAGCGGUGAAAUGCGUUGAUAUCAUCAGGAACACCGGUGGCGAAGGCGGCUCACUGGAUCUCUUCUGACGCUGAGGAACGAAAGCUAGGGGAGCGAACGGGAUUAGAUACCCUCGUAGUC
rnacentral:rRNA from 1 species